UUAUUCACGAUGAAGGCGUAUCAGUAGUGGCUUUGGAACCGGAAGCAGCAGAGAGUCGGUGGAAGGUGAGAACCGGCCCGGCCAGGCAGCGAAAUACAGCGUUGGAGUGAAUUCCGCUCCGUAUAGAUGUGUGGGCGGACGGUAUAUUCGUUUGGAAUAGGCCGUUAUCCGUAUGAGUGAAGGGCUUUUUUGCCCUUAAGUAAGGGUGGUACCGCGAGCAAACUCGUCCCUUUU
rnacentral:ncRNA from 1 species